rnacentral:rRNA from 1 species
GACGAACGCUGGCGGCGUGCUUAACACAUGCAAGUCGAACGGUAAGGCCCUUCGGGGUACACGAGUGGCGAACGGGUGAGUAACACGUGGGUGAUCUGCCCUGCACUUCGGGAUAAGCCUGGGAAACUGAGUCUAAUACCGGAUAGGACCACUGCCGGCAUGGGCGGUGGUGGAAAGCUUUUGCGGUGUGGGGUGGGCCCGCGGCCUAUCAGCUUGUUGGUGGGGUGAUGGCCUACCAAGGCGACGACGGGUAGCCGGCCUGAGAGGGUGACCGGCCACACUGGGACUGAGAUACGGCCCAGACUCCUACGGGAGGCAGCAGUGGGGAAUAUUGCACAAUGGGCGCAAGCCUGAUGCAGCGACGCCGCGUGAGGGAUGACGGCCUUCGGGUUGUAAACCUCUUUCAGCACCGACGAAGCGCAAGUGACGGUAGGUGCAGAAGAAGGACCGGCCAACUACGUGCCAGCCGCCGCCGUAA